UCCCCGAGUAGAAGCGGUCAGGGCGGGAAGGCCCGGGACAUUGCUCGGCAA
rnacentral:ncRNA from 1 species